UACGGGAGGGGCAAGCGUUGUUCGGAAUUACUGGGCGUAAAGGGCUCGUAGGUGGCCAACUAAGUCAGACGUGAAAUCCCUCGGCUUAACCGGGGAACUGCGUCUGAUACUGGAUGGAUUGAGUUCGGGAGAGGGAUGCGGAAUUCCAGGUGUAGCGGUGAAAUGCGUAGAUAUCUGGAGGAACACCGGUGGCGAAGGCGGCAUCCUGGACCGACACUGACACUGAGGAGCGAAAGCCAGGGGAGCAAACGGG
rnacentral:rRNA from 1 species